GGCCUCGUGGCCCAAUGGCAAGGCGUCUGACUACGAUAAAGAACCAAACCAUAUUCUGGUUUGAAUUCUUCACGAUAAUCAGGAGAUUCUGGGUUCGACCCCCAGCGAGGUCA